UCGGGAAUUUUGUGCAAUGGGCGAAAGCCUGACACAGCAACGCCGCGUGAAGGAUGAAGUCCCUCGGGAUGUAAACUUCGUAAGAAUAGGAAGAAUAAAUGACGGUACUAUUUAUAAGGUCCGGCUAACUACGUGCCAGCAGCCGCGGUAAUACGUAGGGACCAAGCGUUGUUCGGAUUUACUGGGCGUAAAGGGCGCGUAGGCGGCAAUUCAAGUCAUCUGUGAAAUCUCCGGGCUUAACUCGGAACGGUCAGAUGAUACUGCUUUGCUAGAGUGCAGAAGGGGCAAUCGGAAUUCUUGGUGUAGCGGUGAAAUGCGUAGAUAUCAAGAGGAACACCUGAGGUGAAGACGGGUUGCUGGGCUGACACUGACGCUGAGGCGCGAAAGCCAGGGGGAGCAAACGGGAUUAGAUACCCAAGUAGUCCCUGAGCGGGCUGGCAAGGCGCAU
rnacentral:rRNA from 1 species